CAGGUGCGAUCAUACCAGCACUAA
rnacentral:rRNA from 2 species